GCCCUUGUGGCGAAAUGGUUAUCGCUUUCCACUUCUAAUUCGCGUUAUAUUGUGACUGGGAUGGAAGGAUUGCGGGUUCGAGUCCCGCCAGGGGUU